UAGCAUAUCAAUAAGCGCAGGAAAAGAAACCAACAGGGAUUGCCUCAGUAACGGCGAGUGAAGCGGCAACAGCUCAAAUUUGAAAUCUGGCCUCUCGGGGUCCGAGUUGUAAUUUGUAGAGGAUGUUUCGGGUACCGCCUCGGUUUAAAUUUCUUGGAACAGAAUGUCAAAGAGGGUGAGAAUCCCGUCUUGGACCGGUGGUAGGGCCUAUGUGAAACUCCUUCGACGAGUCGAGUUGUUUGGGAAUGCAGCUCAAAAUGGGUGGUAAAUUUCAUCUAAAGCUAAAUAUUGGCCAGAGACCGAUAGCGCACAAGUAGAGUGAUCGAAAGAUGAAAAGCACUUUGAAAAGAGAGUUAAACAGUAUGUGAAAUUGUUGAAAGGGAAGCGCUUGCAACCAGACUUGAGCGCGGCGGUUCCCCCUUGCUUCUGCUUGGGUUACUCCGCCGUGUCCAGGCCAACAUCGGUUCUGGGGGUCGGUCAAAGGCUCUGGGAAUGUAUCUACCUACGGGUAGACUUAUAGACCAGGGUGUCAUGCGGCCUCCCGGGACCGAGGAACGCGCUUCGGCUCGGAUGUUGGCGUAAUGGUUGUCAGCGACCCGUCUUGAAACACGGACCAAGGAGUCUAACAUCUAUGCGAGUGUUUGGGUGUCAAACCCGGAACGCGGAAUGAAAGUGAACGGAGGUAGGAAGCUUCGGCUGCACUAUCGACCGAUCCUGAAGUUUACGGAUGGAUUUGAGUAAGAGCAUAGCUGUUGGGACCCGAAAGAUGGUGAACUAUGCCUGAAUAGGGUGAAGCCAGAGGAAACUCUGGUGGAGGCUCGCAGCGGUUCUGACGUGCAAAUCGAUCGUCAAAUUUAGGUAUAGGGGCGAAAGACUAAUCGAACCAUCUGGUAGCUGGUUCUGCGA
rnacentral:rRNA from 1 species